UACUUCCUACAUUGAUAAUAAAAUGAAUUGUCGAUCAAAAAGCAUGUUGUAAUUAUUUGAUAGAUCUCAAAAAAUGAUGAAGUGCUUGCUAUUCUUUUUAUUUUUGGGGUUUGCUUGUCUCUUUUCAGCUGAGGAACAACAAUCACAUGACUUUAUCGAGUUUAUCGACUACGUACUUGGUAGGAAUGCGGAUGGUAAAGGUGUUGAUCAUGGAUUUGAUAUUAUAGUCAAUGGAAAUAGAAGAUACGUCAUUCCAAAAAAAGUGUUAAAUAUAAAACGACACAACUUUAAUUUUGUGCAACUACCAGGUCAGAAUGAAUAUAUCCCAAUAGCAUGAGAAGUUUCGUGAGUUUCAGAUGAUUCCUAAAAGAAAUGUUGGAGCAUUCAACCUAAAUUAAAAAAAACACUAUGUUGUUUGAAUAAAUAUUUUGUAAAUCCA